rnacentral:rRNA from 1 species
UACGAGGGGGGCGAGCGUUGUUCGGAAUUAUUGGGCGUAAAGGGUGCGUAGGCGGUUUGGUAAGUCUUAUGUGAAAUCUUCGGGCUCAACUCGAAGUCUGCAUGAGAAACUGCCGGGCUUGAGUGUGGGAGAGGUGAGUGGAAUUCCCGGUGUAGCAGUGAAAUGCGUAGAGAUCGGGAGGAACACCAGUGGCGAAGGCGGCCUUCUGGACCAAUACUGACGCUCAUGCACGAAAGCGUGGGGAGCAAACAGG